rnacentral:lncRNA from 1 species
UUCUGGGUGAGUCCCCGAGCCGGAGGCGGGGUGGCCGCGCCCGCAGCCGGCGUUGUAGUUUUGGAGCCCGGGAAUGCCCUGGGAUGCGGGCGCGGGGCGCGCGCCUGGACCGCCGGGUUGGCCGCUGGCUCUCCGGGUCCCUCCUGGCCGCUCCCUCCAGAGAAGCUCACGUGGGGGCCGAGGUGCAUGCAGCUGCCGCCCGGACGUCCGUCUGACCCGCGUGGACGUCUGCAGAGUCCGUGAGCGCGAAAAUGAACCCAGAGGAGAACUGGUGAGAUCGCGUCCUCUCCGGACCCCGAUCGACAGAGGGAGAGAGUCAGACCCACAGAGCACCUGCCCGGCCGCUGAGUUCAGACCGACUGCACCUCGUGGAGGAGGAAAAAAUGUAGUUAUCGAAUCCAGUCAAGAGUCUGUGUCUCUGGAAUUAUCCACAACAUCCCAUCGGGGAAGGGUCCAGGUGGUCCACAGACGCAUGGCGAUCCAAGGGCCACGUAAAGGUAAGGAUCCGCGCCCGACUCCAGGCUCCGCGUGCAGACGUGUGUGUACUGCCUCAAC